rnacentral:rRNA from 1 species
AGAGCGAACGCUGGCGGCAGGCCUAACACAUGCAAGUCGAGCGCCCCGCAAGGGGAGCGGCAGACGGGAGAGUAACACGUGGGAACGUGCCCUUUGGUUCGGAACAACACAGGGAAACUUGUGCUAAUACCGGAUAAGCCCUUACGGGGAAAGAUUUAUCGCCAAAGGAUCGGCCCGCGUCUGAUUAGCUUGUUGGUGAGGUAACGGCUCACCAAGGCGACGAUCAGUAGCUGGUCUGAGAGGAUGAUCAGCCUCACUGGGACUGAGACACGGCCCAGACUCCUACGGGAGGCAGCAGUGGGGAAUAUGGACAAUGGGCGCAAGCCUGAUCCAGCCAUGCCGCGUGGGUGAUGAAGGCCCUAGGGUUGUAAAGCCCUUUCGGCGGGAAGAUAAUGACGGUACCCGCAGAAGAAGCCCGGCUAACUUCGUGCCAGCAGCCGC